AGUGAGGAUUUUGAAGAUGAUGGUUCCACUGAAGUCUGGGCUAUCAGGGAACAUCUGGAUCACUCAGGAAGACCAACAGCUCUUACAGCAGGGAGAUCACAGCAGUGCCUCCAGCUGUGAAAUGCCAUGGAAUAGACUGAGCACUGACUCCAUCAUCUGUGUCUCUCUGGCCCUGGCCAUGGUGCUUACCACUCCAAUCAGCUCACAUAUUAAUGAAGUUAAUGUGUAUUAAAUGACUGUUAGAGAUAGAAUGGCCAUAACCAAAAAAGACAGCACUACUGAAAAAAAUAGAUAAUACAAAAAGUGGAAAAACAUCCCAUGCUCAUGGAUUAGAAGACUUAAUAUCAUUAGAAUGACCAUACUGCUCAAAGCAAUCUGCAGAUUCAACACUAUUGCUAUCAAACUACCAACAUCAUUUUUUCACAAAAUUAGAAGAAAACUAUUCUAAAAUUCAUGUGAAACCAAAAAAAGAAAAAAGAGCCUGAAUAGCCAAAGCAGUCCUCACCAAAGUAAUAAACCUGGAGAAAUCACAUUACCCAACUUCAAACUGUAUUACAAGGCUACAGUAACCAAAACAGCAUGGUACUGGCACAAAAACAGACACAUAAACCAAUGGAACAGAAUAGACAACCCAGAAAUAAAGUUUCACUCCCACAGCCAUCUAAUCUUUCACAAAGUUGACAAAAAUAAGCAGUGGGGAAAGCCCUCCCUAUUCAAUAAGUGGUACUGGGAUAACUGCCUAGCCAUAUGCAGAAGAAUGAAAUUGGAACCCUGCUUUUCACCAUAAACAUAAAUUAACUCAAGAUGGAAUUAAAGAUUUAAAUGUAAGACCUCAAACUAUAAAAAUCCUAGAAAAAAAGCCUAAGAAAUAUCAUCCUGGACAUCAACCCUGGGAAAGAAUUUAUGACUCAGUCUUCAAAAAGAUGCAACAAAAAUAAAAAUUGACAAGUGGGACCUAAUUGGAUUAAAGAGCUUCUGCACAGCAAAAUAAACUAUCAAUAAAGUAAGCAGACAACCUACAGAAUGGGAAAAAAUAUUUGGAAACUAUGCAUCCAACAAAGUUCUAAUAUCUAGAAUCUAUAAGGAACUUAAAUCAACAAGCAAAAAACAAAUAACCCUAUUAAAAAGUGAGCAAAAGGCAGGAACAGAUACUUUUCAAAAGAAGACAUAACAAACAUCCAACAAACAUGAAAAAAUGCUCAUCACUAAUCAUCAGAGAAAUGCAAAUCAAAAAACCACAGUAACAUACCACCUCAUACCAGUCAGAAUGGCUAUUAUUAAAAAGUCAAAAACCAACAGAUGCUGGAGACUGCAGAGAAAUGGGAACAUUUAUACACUGUUGGUAGGAAGGUAAAUUAUUUCAGCUACUGUGGAAAGCCGUUUGGACACUUCUCAAAAAAUUAAAAAUACAACUACCAUUUGACCCAGCAAUCCCAUUACUGGGUAUAUACCCAGAGGAAAAUAAAUUGUUCUACCAAAAAGACAUGUGCACUCAUAUGUUCACCACAGCAUUAUUCACAGUAGCAAAGACAUGGAAUCCACCUAGGUGCCCAUCAACAGCAGACUGGCUAAAGAAAAUAUGGGGCUUACACAUCAUGGAAUACUACACAGCCAUAAAAAAGAAUUAAAUCAUGUCCUUUGCAGCAACAUGGAUGCAUCUGGAAGCUAUUAUCCUAAGCGAAUUAACACAGGAACAGAAAGUAAGGUAUACAUGUUCUCACUUACAAGUGGGAGCUAAACCUUGCAUACUCACAGACAUAAAGGUGGCAACAAUAGACAUUGAAGACUACUAGAGGGAGGAGCAGGGUUGGGGGUAGUGUUGAAAAACUACGUAUUGGGUACUAUGCUCACUACCUGAAUGAUGGGAACAUUUGUACUCUAAGCCUUGGCAUCACAUGAUAUACCCACAUAACAAACCCGCAUAUGUACCCCCAUAUCUAAAAUAAAAGUUGAAAUUAUUUAAAAAUAAAUAAUAAAUAAAUAAAUGCAUGAUAGAUUUCAGCAGUGGGGAAAAAAUAACAAGUUUUGGCAAAGAUAAAGAGAAACUGGGAUGCUUAUACAUUGUUUGCGGGAAUGCAAAAUAGAACAGCCAUUUUGGAAAACAGUUUGAUAGUUUCAUUUAAGAAGUUAUACAUAAAUUUAUCAUCUGGCCCAGCAAUUGCACUCCUAGUUAUCUACCAAAGAGAAAUGAAAGCCUAUCCACACAAAGAAUUGUACGUAAAUGUUCUUAGCAGGUAGUGCAUAAUAAUCAAAAUGGAAACAAACUGAUGAUGAAUGGAUAAACAAAAUGUGACAUAUUCAUAAAAUGGAAUAUUAUUCAACAAUUAAAAGAAGUACUGAUACAUGCUACAAUAUUAAUGAAUCUCAAGAACAUUAUGCUAAGUGAAAGAAGCAAGAUAAAAAAGACUACGUGCACAUUUUAGGACUACUUUUAUAUGAAAUGCCCCAAAAAGAAAAAUCCACAGAGACAAAAUGCAGGUUAGCAGUUGCAUGGGGUUUGGGGAAUGGGAGAAGGAGUUGACUGCAAACAGACCCAAGGGACCUUUUUGGAGUAAUAUAAAUGUGUUCUACAACUGGAUUAUGGUGACAUUUGCACAACUCUGAAAAUUUACCAAAAAUCACUCAUUGUACACUUAGAAUGGGUUAAUUGUAUGAUAUGUAAGUUAUACCUGCUUCUAAAAAUGACUAUUGCAAUAAUAUUUCAUCUUCUCUAUUUUGCUCACAAUUUGCUUCACUGUUCAUGGAAUCACUCACUAUCUAAAAUAAGAUAUCCCCAGAAAUUGGACACAAUUUUAUGCUUUGAGAGUGAAGACAGAAGAAUCUGCUUGUGAUGGGCUUGUCCAAGGAGCAUGAGAGACAGUCAAAUGUAAGGACAUAACUCAGAGGCAUGAAUGUAUCUACAUCUGAAGCUACAGCCUUAUCAUUUGGGAGUUUGUACAUCAGUCUUUCAUAAAUCCUACUUCACUUGGCCAGCUUGGGGCCUCCUAGCAAUAUUCAUUGGUUUACCAAGAAUAUUUUUAUAGGCUGCACAAAGGUAAACUUUGGCUCAGUUCUUGCCUACAUCAUUAUAAUUUCUCAAUUAUUGGGAUAAAACUAAUAAAGCUCAAUUAAACCUUAAAUACAUCAUUAUACUCUGAAUUUUAAAAAUUGUCAAAGUUACAGCUAAUGACAAUAGAAUUUACUGUUACUUUCUAUAUUUUGUUCUAAUUAUGAAAGCCCAUUAAAACUCUAAAUAAAGAAAUAAUUUGAAACUCAUAAGCUUUGAAAUCAACUCAAUGAACUUACAUAAUUACAUUCACAUGACAUAAAGGAUUAUUCGAAAUACAAUUGAAGAGCAAACAUAUGCACAGAUUUAGACAAUAUUCAUGAUUUAUAGCAAAUUAUAAAAUCUUCCAGGCAACAUUUUAAGGAAUCCAUGUUUUAAAUCAUUACUUGACUUGUUCUUGGCAUAUAAAUAAUUAUGGAGUGCAGAGUCUUCAUUGAGUUUAUCCUCAUCACUGGCUUGCUUUAGACAUACAGGUUUCCAUUUUGU
rnacentral:lncRNA from 1 species